rnacentral:misc_RNA from 1 species
GAAAUGCGAUAAGUAAUGUGAAUUGCAGAAUUCAGUGAAUCAUCGAAUCUUUGAACGCACCUUGCGCUCCUUGGUAUUCCUUGGAGCAUGCCUGUUUGAGUAUCAUGAAAUCUUCAAAGUAAAUCUUUUGUUAACUCAAUUGGUUUCUACUUUGGUAUUGGAGGUCUUUGCAGCUUCACACCUGCUCCUCUUUGUUCAUUAGCUGGAUCUCAGUGUUAUGCUUGGUUCCACUCGGCGUGAUAAGUUAUCUAUCGCUGAGGACACUGUAAGAGGUGGCCAAGGUAAAUGCAGAUGAACCGCUUCUAAUAGUCCAUUGACUUGGACAAUACUUUUUUGAUCUGAUCUCAAAUCAGGUAGGACUACCCGCUGAACUUAAGC